rnacentral:rRNA from 1 species
CCUACGGGAGGCAGCAGUAGGGAAUUUUCGGCAAUGGGGGGAACCCUGACCGAGCAACGCCGCGUGAACGAAGAAGUUAUUCGUAAUGUAAAGUUCUUUUAUCAGGGAAGAAAGAGGAAUUUGACGGUACCUGAGGAAUAAGCUCCGGCUAACUACGUGCCAGCAGCCGCGGUAAUACGUAGGGAGCGAGCGUUAUCCGGAAUUAUUGGGCGUAAAGGGUGCGUAGAUGGCAUAGUAAGUCUUUUGUAAAAAUGCUGGGCUCAACCCAGUAGGGCAAAAGAUACUGCAAAGCUAGAGUAUGACAGAGGCAAGUGGAACUACAUGUGUAGCGGUAAAAUGCGUAAAUAUAUGUAAGAACACCAGUGGCGAAGGCGGCUUGCUGGGUCGAUACUGACAUUGAGGCACGAAAGCGUGGGGAGCAAACAGGAUUAGAUACCCC